GGCUCGGUAGCUCAGUUGGUAGAGCAUACGAUUGAAGCUCGUAGUGUCGGGGGUUCGAUUCCCUUCCGCGCCA
rnacentral:tRNA from 3 species